rnacentral:tRNA from 1 species
GUAGUGGCUUAGUGGUAGAGUGCUUGUCUGGCAUGUGUGAGGCCCUGGGUUCCAUCCUCAGCACCACA